rnacentral:lncRNA from 1 species
CCACAUCUGCUGGUCGCAGCAGGUCCAAGGCCAGCUCGACCCAACGGGCGGGGUCAUAGGCCCCAGCUCUCCGUGGACCGGGAUAAAUCACACGCCCGCGAGCAUGCUGGGAGGCGGACUUCGGGGCCAUCCUAUUUGAUCCGCAAAAACAGGGCAGGAGGGAGAUAACGGAGGGAGACGGUGAAGCAGCUGGGCUACACGGACAAGUUCCUCACUCCAGUACAUCGGGGAGUUAUUCGUGCUCAGGACCAGCUGGACCAGUUGCUGGUUCUGCCUGUGCUGGUACUGAGCUCCUCUGAUGUGCUGACUGCCGUUACCUCGGAGUAAUGUCGACCUCCUCUACCUGCGGACUCUUGCUGAACUUCUGUUCCGCCAGCCAGGAAUCACCUUCACCUGCUGUUUUCAGCUCGAAGGCUGUUGCCUCCCUAUGGUUGCUGGCUUCCUCUCCAUACUGCCCUUCUCCUCCUUCUGGCUGGUGGCAAGCUUCCCCUUGAGCUCGUCACGUUCUUCAGUGCAGCACAACACAGAGUAAAGGUCCAUGGGUGUUUAUGCGGCGGCUGGAGCAGCCAGAAGAACCCUCUGCUCACCAACACCUUCCUCUGUCUCCCAAGUCCUUCCUGUCGGCUCCUUGCAGACAGACGGCUAAGUUCACCUGGGGUAGGACAGAAACAGCCUCGUGUCCCGAUAAGUGUCCCCAGGCGUAGUCAGAGUAAAGGUCGUUGGGAAGUACAGUUGUUAUUACUGCCCGCUCCUUGCACGGUAAGGGCUCUUUCCUCAGAGAAAUGAUUUUGAAAGUUCCUAAAAUUCUCAUAUGAAAAAGAAACUCUCUAAAAUAAAAUAAACUUCGCAUAAGAAUAGUAUCA